rnacentral:rRNA from 1 species
AUUGAACGCUGGCGGCAGGCCUAACACAUGCAAGUCGAGCGGAAGAAGGGAGCUUGCUCCUGGAUUCAGCGGCGGACGGGUGAGUAAUGCCUAGGAAUCUGCCUGGUAGUGGGGGAUAACGUCCGGAAACGGGCGCUAAUACCGCAUACGUCCUGAGGGAGAAAGUGGGGGAUCUUCGGACCUCACGCUAUCAGAUGAGCCUAGGUCGGAUUAGCUAGUUGGUGGGGUAAAGGCCUACCAAGGCGACGAUCCGUAACUGGUCUGAGAGGAUGAUCAGUCACACUGGAACUGAGACACGGUCCAGACUCCUACGGGAGGCAGCAGUGGGGAAUAUUGGACAAUGGGCGAAAGCCUGAUCCAGCCAUGCCGCGUGUGUGAAGAAGGUCUUCGGAGUGUAAAGCACUUUAAGUUGGGAGGAAGGGCAGUAAGUUAAUACCUUGCUGUUUUGACGUUACCAACAGAAUAAGCACCGGCUAACUUCGUG